AUCGAUUUAAUGACGACCAUUUUGUUUCGAUCUUUCGUUGAAAAUGUAUAGAAUACUCAACAGAGUUCUGAUGUCACCAUGAAAUAUGGUGCUGCUAUCUAGUUUCUUGAUUUAGCAAUUCAGUAUAUUUUAAAAAAAUUGUGGGUGUUACACUUCUCGUCUUUCAAUUUCUCGUUUUUGAAUUCUUCCGCAUUUUCUAUCAAGAUUUUCGAAUAAGUUUGACGCCUAGCCGAUUUCCCGAUCGCGUAAUAACUAUUAUAUCGUAAUUUCGGUUUAAUCUUUCAUUAAAAAGCAAAAAGUUAUAUGUAGAUCUUCUAUUGUUAGUGCAACGGUUAUUGAAGACCCCAAGAUUUAAUCGUCGCCGCCUCGUAAUGAAUUCGCCAGGGUUUUCUUAAACGACCGGCACACCCGCCGCCAAUUACAUCGCCGAUUAAAUUACGACCGCCUGCUGGAAGAUAAAACUGUCCCUGGAAGACUAAUUAAAUUUCGUCUGUUUGAGGUUCAUAAAAAAUACAUUUUAAAGUAUAAAAACUGGCAAAGUAAAAGAUAUUUCAACUACAGCAAAUUAUAUCUCGUGCAAAACACGCUUCAACAAAUUCCUCAUUAUUCACAUUACAUUAUUUCCUAAAGCACGUGAUCUCCUAAUUACUUCCAACAACACGUCCUUCCGUCCAUAUCUUCAAUCCUUCAUCAGAAUCUAUCUCGUUCCUCCAAAAACAUCCACUUACAAGGAUACAAGCGUUCAUUAAGAAUCUUCUUUAAACAAUCCCACCUGCGAUCUACGAUUAAGUUACGAGGGUAAAGGUGUGCAGAGAGUGAAGUCGCAAAUGAAAUUCCGACGAAUGGAAUCCGCCAGAAAUCUUAACGAUCCUCGCUAUCUCUUUCGGACAGCGUGGCACAGUGACUGGAAAGCGUGGUGGCUCAAGGAAGGGGGUGCAAUUUAAAUCUGUGCCCACCCGCGACGCCAUCCUCUAUCAAGCGGGGAACGAGACGUUUAAAAUGCCUCUGUGUCCGAUUAAAUCUUAACAACCUAAUUUCCCUGGCGCUCGCCUCUAUUCGAUGCUCCAUCCUUCGAUCCCUUUCCGACUAUUUUUCAUCGUUCCUUCUUCCCAGUUUAUCUUUCUCUUUUAACCCUCUUUUUCUUCGUCGAUCCGUGGGUUACUUUUGAUUUUCUUGAAUUGAGAGUUGAAUUGGAACGAACGAGGGAGGAGGAGAACCUGGUUGUUGCAGUUCAUUCAACUGUACGUUGAAAAUCGCCUUCCUUUGAGGGUUGAAAUGGACCGAUUGUGGACACCUGUGGGCUGCGUUUGAUUGAGUUAAUAGAGAGACGUUCUUCUGAGGUUUCCAUUCACUUCUUGCGAUCAAAGAUAGAAUGAUAUGGAUGGAAGAUAGAAUGAUGUUGGUUUGUCAGUGGUAAGAUCAUGUUCAAAAUUAUUGAAUUGUUUGGGAAUUUUGUUCACACAGAUAGCAGAAAUUACAUGGAAUAAGUUAUUGAUGAAGAAAAGAAGGAAUUUUUUUGUUUUUGAAGGAAGGAUGAUAAUGGAAAAUAGGAAUUUGUAUAUUUUAUUAUUAAUUUGAUUGAAAUGUUUGGUUGUUUUUUUUUU